UCAGGGAUUUCGUUAUGAGAAGCUUUCUAGCAAAACUUGGGGAUGGGUAUUUUGGGGUCACAGAGGUCACUGAGGAGUGCCCAGGGCAAGAUGUCACUGGAGCGGUUGUGCCCCAUGCUGCUGGCUUACCCACCAUCUCACCACUGCCCUUAUCCUGCAUCAGCCAUGCAGAUACAGAGACACAAAGAAAGAUGCUCAAAGGAAAAAAGCAAAAAACCCGGCAAAGCAACACAUCAAGCCUUUAAGUACUUAACCACUUCCAUGGUGUCCAGGAUUCUGUUCCCUGGGUUGACCCCACACAAAGCCAGUGCUUCGGAAGGUUCAAGUGCUCUGUAUGUGUGUCGAGCUUGCCAUUGCACUCACACUCACUCCACACAGCGAAUCCUUCCUGGCUCAGCCCUGCCUGACCUGGGAGGAGCUCACAGAAGUUAACAUCUUCAAGGUGGGAGGGAGCUAAGCUGAGCUCAAGGAAAGUCCCUUCUGGGAGUGUCUCAGACAUCUGCUAUGCCAGCUAUCCCUGUGCCCCAUACUGAGCCCCUGCCAUGCUGACCUGGUCGUGUCCUGGGCCUCAGUGAGGAAUGUAUCUUCAUUCUUUGGGAACGUGGCACAAAGCUGGUCUGCCCUCUCUGGAAGGAUACAUUACUGGUGUUAAGUUCUGACCUGCCAAUGGCCUUUUCUUAGGAGCCCUUUCUUCCUCCUCUGUGUAGAGAAGGGCAUUGGCUUUCCUCUGCUCCCUGCCAGCAUCUUCCUGCCCCCUGUGCUGUGGGAGUCACCUUUUCCACAGA
rnacentral:lncRNA from 1 species